UUUGUUCAAGUCCAUAACUAAAACCGCAGCAGGGGAAUUAACGCCGUUGUGGUAUUCAAAUGGACCAAAUUAGACACCAUGAUUAACUAUUCCUCUUAAGGGUAUCGCAUUGAAGAUACUAACCUUAAUAAAGUUCAAAAAUCAACAAAACAACAAC